CAGAAGCUUCACCUAAUUGGAAAUGGUGUACGUGGUCCUCAGCAAACCAUAUCCAUGUGGUUUGAUCCAAGAGAAAACUUGGUUUCCAGUAUCUGAGUUUCCAGUAUCUGCCUGCUCUUCAGUAACUAAGUAAGGCAUUGACAAUGGCAGAGAGUCCAGCCUCCCAUUAUCAAGAUUUAACCAACAGUUUCAUUGCGAGUCCAUCCUUGAUCCGGAAGUAAAGGCGCACACUGUACUGAUCCUCACAUCUGGACAUGGCAGUCUCCACUACACAGUCACUGUAAAUCCCCCCAAGUGAAAAGCCACAAAACAAAAUCAGAAACAGGAAGAGAAAACAGAACUUUACAAUGCCAUGGAAUAAGAUGAUAUGCUACUGGAUAUGACAGUCUCCAUUACACAAUUAUUAUACAUCCCCUUAAAUGGAAAGCCACAAAACAAAAUCAACAACAGAAAGAAAAUAGAAACUAACAACAUCAUGAAGCUAAUAACAUGCUACUGAAUGAAUGUAUCAUUGAAGAAAUGAAAAAGGAAAUCAAGAACCUUCUUGAAGAAAAUCAUGCUAAUAUGAUCUGUGAGUCAAUGAAGAAUUGAAUGAGAA